rfam:Physcomitrella patens subsp. patens PHYPAscaffold_15 genomic scaffold, whole genome shotgun sequence.
UAAGAGGCUUUUAUAAAAGCCAUGUUUAGAUGCCUUGAAUUAUUAU